AUUGAACGCUGGCGGCAGGCCUAACACAUGCAAGUCGAGCGGUAGAGAGGUGCUUGCACCUCUUGAGAGCGGCGGACGGGUGAGUAAUGCCUAGGAAUCUGCCUGGUAGUGGGGGAUAACGCUCGGAAACAGACGCUAAUACCGCAUACGUCCUACGGGAGAAAGCAGGGGACCUUCGGGCCUUGCGCUAUCAGAUGAGCCUAGGUCGGAUUAGCUAGUUGGUGGGGUAAUGGCUCACCAAGGCGACGAUCCGUAACUGGUCUGAGAGGAUGAUCAGUCACACUGGAACUGAGACACGGUCCAGACUCCUACGGGAGGCAGCAGUGGGGAAUAUUGGACAAUGGGCGAAAGCCUGAUCCAGCCAUGCCGCGUGUGUGAAGAAGGUCUUCGGAUUGUAAAGCACUUUAAGUUGGGAGGAAGGGUCGUUACCUAAUACGUGGCGAUUUUGACGUUACCGACAGAAUAAGCACCGGCUAACUCUGUGCCAGCCGCCGCUGUAAAAC
rnacentral:rRNA from 1 species